rnacentral:lncRNA from 1 species
ACCUGAUCGGAUGUCAAAGAGGCAACUUGCCAUGAAAUUCGCUAAUGCACCGCGACUCACCGGGUAGGCAGGCAUAAACUAAGUCUACCUAUAUCUACUCCAUUCGUGUAGGUGUUCUGUGUUCUAUUUGAAGACAUCAGAUUUCAGUGCAGCUCCUCCAAAGCUUCCCCUCUGCGUUACCUGCUGGAGACGAUCACAGAAGAGAACAAACGCCCACCCGGGA